rnacentral:rRNA from 1 species
ACUCCUACGGGAGGCAGCAGUGGGGAAUCUUGCACAAUGGGCGAAAGCCUGAUGCAGCGACGCCGCGUGAGCGAUGAAGCCCUUCGGGGUGUAAAGCUCUUUCGACGGGAACGAUAAUGACGGUACCCGGAGAAGAAGCUGCGGCUAACUACGUGCCAGCAGCCGCGGUAAUACGUAGGCAGCGAGCGUUGUUCGGAAUUACUGGGCGUAAAGAGUGUGUAGGCGGUGUUCCCAGUCUGUUGUGAAAUCUCCCGGCUUAACUGGGAGGGUGCAGCGGAAACUAGAAUGCUAGAGGGUGGGAGAGGUAAGCGGAAUUCCUGGUGUAGCGGUGAAAUGCGUAGAUAUCAGGAGGAACACCUGUGGUGUAGACAGCUUACUGGACCACUUCUGACGCUGAGACACGAAAGCGUGGGUAGCAAACAGGAUUAGAUACCCUGGUAGUCCACGCCCUAAACGAUGCAU